AGGGCACUCUGUUGGAAGAAGGGUCUGGUAACGGGCAUACCUUCAAUCUGCCUUUCAGGAACACUCUCCUGUCAGUCUCUUGGAAGCUGCUGCUAUGAGGACCACGGUACUGUUGAUGAACACACAUGCUGGAUAACACGUGUCAGCGAAACUGAAUAAUAGUUUAAAUUCAGUCAACACUGGAGCCAAUAUUCCAAGACAUCAGGCCUUGAGUGGAGUCCCGAGUCUUGGAUAUAAGGACUAAAGUCAGACAUGACUCUUAAGUACUGAUGUCUUUUUCCACCUUUGAAGGAGUUGAACCACCCAAAAGCACAUGUUCUGAAUACAGAAUAUAAUACCCUAUCCUAAAAGUGAAAUGUAGUUCUCAGAUCGGGUUUAGUCUCGCUUAUUUUGUUUUCCUUGUGCAUGAUUCAUUGAGCUGAUGUAAGAAUGUGUUAUCUCUUUUCCCUAUGACCGGGAUAGCCAGGUGUUAUUCCCAGCAAUUAGGUUCUCUGUUCUCUGUUCUCUGUUCUCUGUUCUCUGUUCUCUGUUCUCUGUUCUGCAGCCGUCUAACAGUUUAUUCAAGUAACCAGCUGAUAGCUAUCAUAUCUACCAACACAGUUAAAUGACCAGAAAAUAUGGAAUGCAAUUAAAUGCCCCAGAUUAUGAAAGAAACUGUCGUUCUUGAAAUAUUGUUUCAACAACAGGGGCUAAAUUUGGGU